CCUACGGGUGGCAGCAGUGAGGAAUAUUGGUCAAUGGACGAGAGUCUGAACCAGCCAAGUAGCGUGAAGGAUGACUGCCCUAUGGGUUGUAAACUUCUUUUAUAUGGGAAUAAAAUGUUCCACGUGUGGGAUUUUGUAUGUACCAUAUGAAUAAGGAUCGGCUAACUCCGUGCCAGCAGCCGCGGUAAUACGGAGGAUCCGAGCGUUAUCCGGAUUUAUUGGGUUUAAAGGGAGCGUAGGUGGAUUGUUAAGUCAGUUGUGAAAGUUUGCGGCUCAACCGUAAAAUUGCAGUUGAAACUGGCAGUCUUGAGUACAGUAGAGGUGGGCGGAAAUCGUGGUGGAGCGGUGAAAUGCUUAGAUAUCACGAAGAACUCCGAUUGCGAAGGCAGUUCACUGGACUGCAACUGACACUGAGGCUCGAAAGUGUGGGUAUCAAACAGGAAUAGAUACCCGGGUAGUC
rnacentral:rRNA from 1 species